GGGGCUGUGGCUCAGUGGUAGAGCAUCUGCUUGGAAUGCAGAAGGUCUGAGGUUCAAUCCCCAGCAACUCCA